rnacentral:lncRNA from 1 species
UGAGUGUCUGAUUCUUUUAAACUUGACACAAAUCAUUUGUAGAUAUUCAAUAGAAAGUAUUCACAUAAAAAAUAAAAACUCUAUUGUUUUUCUUUUUACUUGCAUGACUUAAACCGUGAAGUGGCUAAACUGGAAUUUCAUAAGUCUAACCUAAGCCUCUUAUGUUUGGUACAACUUUCACAUUUUUGUUGACUAAACUGAAGGGGGAAAAAGGAAGAUACUGAUUUUAGAAACUAACAAUGUGCCACAUGGGAAAAGACGUUCAGUUGCCAACAGGACAAACGCCUCGCUACCUUCCAGCAUGAGCUCCCCACACUCCUCUACAGAGCCUCUGGCUUCUUCCAUUAGACACCACUGCACUGGGACCAAGCACUGUGACCUGUUUAUUCUCGUGUCUCCAGCACUGGCACAGGACCUGACUAGUACAUAGUUGGGACAGUGGUGCACACCUGUAAUCUCAGCACUUUGAGAGACCAAGGCCAGCGGAUCACUUGACCCCCAGGAGUUGGAGACCAGCCUGGGCAAUAUGGUGAAACACCCGCUCCACAAAAGAGUAUAAAAA